CAGGGGCUCCGUACGUGAGCGGGGAAAAAAAACAAAGACAGGAGAGAGAAAAAAGGGGCUGCCUUCCCAAGUCUGCAGCGCCUCUAUGAGGGAGUGCAUGCGAAAGGGGAAAAAAAGAUCAAAGCCGAUGCCGUAAAGCUUCAGAGAUUUUUUUAAUUGGCUCAUCUGUGGACAAGCUUGAUAGACGAGCAGUUCCCGACAUGUCCGCCGUCUAAAGUUCUACUGCAUUGUGGGAAUCCAGUCCAGAGGCCGAGGAUUCUGGGACACCAAGUAAUGACAGGACUGUUAGCUAGCUAGAUAUCUGGCUGUCUAGAUCAUAGACAUAUAGCCAUUAUUAUGCAGCAAAAUCGGAUUUUGAACUAAAAUAUCACCAACAAUAAAAUACUCAAAACACUCA